rnacentral:rRNA from 1 species
CCUGAUUGAUUCUGUCAGCGGUAUAUGCUCAAGUAAAAGAUUAAGCCAUGCAUGCUCGCACAACUCGAUUAUGAGUGAACGUGCGCACGGCUCAUUAGCACGGUUUCGACCUUUUUCGGAUAUCCCAAUGGGAUAACUGCGGAAAUACUGGAGCUAAUACCUGCACUUAAAAACCCGACGUAAGUAGGGUUGCAAUUAUUAGGCCAAACCAAUCGUCCUCGUGACGUAUUGUGGCGACUCCAAAUAGCCCAGUCUAUCGUCGGUUCUAUCCGACGAAGGCCGAAAAGGGUUUCUGCCCUAUCAACUAGACGGUAGCCCAGUAGACUACCGUGGUUGUCACGGGUACCGGAGAAUUGGGGUUUGACUCCGGAGAGGGAGCCUUAGAAACGGCUACCACAUCCAAGGAAGGCAGCAGGCGCGAAACUUAUCCACUGUCAAAAAUGAGAUAGUGACUAAAAAUAUAAAUAUCCUCCCUCAUGGGAGGGAUAUUUAAAUGAGUAGAGGUUAAAAAGCUCUUCGAGAAACUAAGAGAGGGCAAGUCUGGUGCCAGCAGCCGCGGUAAUUCCAGCUCUCUAAGUGUAAAUCGUUAUUGUUGCGGUUAAAAAGCUCGUAGUUGGAUUUAUGGUGGAUAGUGUCGGUUCGCUCAUUCGGGCGUCAAUGCACACGCCAUCAUUUCGGCAGUCUGCGCUAUGUGCGAAAGCAUAUACGUGACUGUCAAGUUUACCUUAAAUAAAUUAAAAUGCUCAAAAUAAGCGUAUGCUUGAAUAUCAUAUUAUGGAAUAAUGAAAUAGGACUUCGGUUCUUUUUGUUGGUUAUUGAAUCGGAGUAAUGAUUAAUAGGGAUAAUCUCGGGGGCAUUCGUAUUUCUGCGGGAGAGGUGAAAUUCUAUGAUCGCAGAAGGACGCCCUAAAGCGAAAGCAUUUGCCAAGAAUGUCUUCGUUAAUCAAGAACGAAAGUCAGAGGAUCGAAGGCGAUUAGAUACCGCCCUAGUUCUGACCGUAAACGAUACCAUCUAGCGAUCCGAUAGGGUCUAUCUAGCCUUGUCGGGGAGCUUCCCGGAAACGAAAGUCUUUCGGUUCCGGGGGUAGUAUGGUUGCAAAGCUGAAACUUAAAGAAAUUGACGGAAGGGCACCACCAGGAGUGGAGCUUGCGGCUUAAUUUGACUCAACACGGGAAAACUCACCCGGUCCGGACACCGUAAGGAUUGACAGACUGAUAGCUCUUUCUUGAUUUGGUG